rnacentral:rRNA from 1 species
AGGUUUAAACAAAUGAAUUGAUGUUUAAUUUAGUUUUUCUGUAAAGUUGAGGUUAAAUUUGUGCCAGCAGCCGCGGUUAGACUGGUGCGGCUAGCGGAAGUGGAUGGGCGGGUAGUUAAAAGGUUUGAUAUGGUUAAAAAUGAAUUAUGAGUGUAGGAAGGUGGAAUUUGGUUAGUGAAGCGCUUUUUUAAUUUAUUGGAGUUGAAGCUAUAAAGGUUUAAGAUUAAAAUAGGAUUAGAUACCCUAGUAUAUUUUACUUGAAAAAUAGAUGGCUUGAUUAGUAUUAGUUAUGUUCUUGAAAUUCAAAGAAUUUGGCGGCACUUUAGCCCGGUUAGAGGAACCUGUCUUUUAAACGAUAGUCCACGAAGUAUCUUACUUUUCUUUGUUUUUCAGCAUGUAUACCGUCGUUGUUUAACAAUUUUAAUAGAAAUUAGUUGGGAAGAAUUAGUGUUAGAAUUAAUAAAAUUAGAUCAAGGUGCAGCUUAUAGGGAAGUAAAGAUGGGUUACAAUAAUUUUAAGUUAAACGGAUUGGUGGAGUAAGAUUUUAUUAUGAAGGAGGAUUUAACAGUAAGCGGGGAGUAAUAAGUCUCGUUGAUGGAGGUUCUGAAGUGUGUACACAUCGCCCGUCGCUCUCAUAAGAGAACAUGAGAUAAGUCGUAACAAAGUAGGUGUACCGGAAGGUGUAUCUAGGAAUAAUA